GAUGAACGCUGGCGGCGUGCCUAAUACAUGCGAGUCGAGCGAACAGACGAGGAGCUUGCUCCUCUGACGUUAGCGGCGGACGGGUGAGUAACACGUGGAUAACCUACCUAUAAGACUGGGAUAACUUCGGGAAACCGGAGCUAAUACCGGAUAAUAUAUUGAACCGCAUGGUUCAAUAGUGAAAGACGGUUUUGCUGUCACUUAUAGAUGGAUCCGCGCCGCAUUAGCUAGUUGGUAAGGUAACGGCUUACCAAGGCAACGAUGCGUAGCCGACCUGAGAGGGUGAUCGGCCACACUGGAACUGAGACACGGUCCAGACUCCUACGGGAGGCAGCAGUAGGGAAUCUUACGCAAUGGGCGAAAGCCUGACGGAGCAACGCCGCGUGAGUGAUGAAGGUCUUCGGAUCGUAAAACUCUGUUAUUAGGGAAGAACAAAUGUGUAAGUAACUAUGCACGUCUUGACGGUACCUAAUCAGAAAGCCACGGCUAACUACGUG
rnacentral:rRNA from 1 species